UCAUGGCUCAGGAUGAACGCUAGCGGCAGGCUUAAUACAUGCAAGUCGUGGGGCAGCAGGUUUGUAGCAAUACAGAUGCUUGGCGACCGGCAAACGGGUGCGGAACACGUACAGAACCUUCCUUUGAGCGGGGAAUAGCCCAGAGAAAUUUGGAUUAAUACCCCAUAGUAUAAUGAAGUGGCAUCACUUUAUUAUUAAAGAUUUAUCACUCGAAGAUGGCCGUGCGGCUGAUUAGGUAGUUGGCGGGUAAAGGCCACCAAGCCUGCGAUCAGUAACUGGUGUGAGAGCACGACCAGUCACACGGGCACUGAGACACGGGCCCGACUCCUACGGGAGGCAGCAGUAAGGAAUAUUGGUCAAUGGAGGCAACUCUGAACCAGCCAUGCCGCGUGGAGGAUGAAGGUCCUCUGGAUUGUAAACUUCUUUUAUAUGGGACGAAAAAGGCUUUCUAAGUCGUCUGACGGUACCAUAUGAAUAAGCACCGGCUAACUCCGUG
rnacentral:rRNA from 1 species